CCUACGGGGGGCAGCAGUGGGGAAUAUUGCACAAUGGGGGAAACCCUGAUGCAGCGACGCCGCGUGAGUGAAGAAGUAUCUCGGUACGUAAAGCUCUAUCAGCAGGGAAGAAAAUGACGGUACCUGACUAAGAAGCACCGGCUAACUACGUGCCAGCAGCCGCGGUAAUACGUAGGGGGCAAGCGUUAUCCGGAUUUACUGGGUGUAAAGGGAGCGUAGACGGCAGCACAAGUCUGGAGUGAAAUCCCGGGGCUUAACCCCGGAACUGCUUUGGAAACUGGGCGGCUGGAGUGCAGGAGGGGGGAGCAGAAUUCCUAGUGUAGCGGUGAAAUGCGUAGAUAUUAGGAGGAACACCGGUGGCGAAGGCGGCUUACUGGACUGUAACUGACGUUGAGGCUCGAAAGCGUGGGGAGCAAACAGGAUUAGAUACCCGUGUAGUC
rnacentral:rRNA from 1 species